CGCGCAUUCAGCCGGUCUCAUAGGAAAGCAUUUACAAUGCUUUCCUAUGGACGCUGGCGUGCUCUCACUGUGAAAAUCACAGUGAGAAGCACGCAAGCGCCUCUAGUGGCUGUCAAUGAGACAGCCACUAGAGGAUUAGGGGGAAGGAUUAACCCAUUUAUAAACAUAGCAGUUUCUCUGAAACUGCUAGGUUUAUUAAAAAAUGGGUUAACCCUAGCUGGACCAGGCACCCAGAC